ACGCUAGCUAUAGGCUUAACACAUGCAAGUCGAGGGGAAACGGCAUUAUGUGCUUGCACAUUUUGGACGUCGACCGGCGCACGGGUGAGUAUCGCGUAUCCAACCUGCCCUUUACUUGGGGAUACCCCGUUGAAAGACGGCCUAAUACCCGAUGUAAUUCAUUGAUGGCAUCAGAUAUGAAUAAAAGAUUUAUCGGUAAAGGAUGGGGAUGCGUCUGAUUAGCUUGUUGGUGAGGUAACGGCUCACCAAGGCGACGAUCAGUAGGGGUUCUGAGAGGAAGGUCCCCCACAUUGGAACUGAGACACGGUCCAAACUCCUACGGGAGGCAGCAGUGAGGAAUAUUGGUCAAUGGGCGCAAGCCUGAACCAGCCAAGUAGCGUGCAGGAAGACGGCCCUAUGGGUUGUAAACUGCUUUUAUACGAGAAUAAUUUGAUGCACGUGUGCGUUAUUGCAUGUAUCGUAUGAAUAAGGACCGGCUAAUUCCGUGCCAGCAGCCGCGGUAAUACGGAAGGUCCAGGCGUUAUCCGGAUUUAUUGGGUUUAAAGGGAGUGUAGGCGGUUUGUUAAGCGUGUUGUGAAAUUUAGGUGCUCAACAUUUAACUUGCAGCGCGAACUGUCAAACUUGAGUACACGCAACGUAUGCGGAAUUCAUGGUGUAGCGGUGAAAUGCUUAGAUAUCAUGAAGAACUCCGAUUGCGAAGGCAGCAUACGGGAGUGUAACUGACGCUUAAGCUCGAAGGUGCGGGUAUCGAACAGGAUUAGAUACCCUGGUAGUCCGCACAGUAAACGAUGGAUGCCCGCUGUUAGCGCCUGGCGUUAGCGGCUAAGCGAAAGCAUUAAGCAUCCCACCUGGGGAGUACGCCGGCAACGGUGAAACUCAAAGGAAUUGACGGGGGCCCGCACAAGCGGA
rnacentral:rRNA from 1 species